AUUGAACGCUGGCGGCAUGCCUUACACAUGCAAGUCGAACGGCAGCACGGGUGCUUGCACCUGGUGGCGAGUGGCGAACGGGUGAGUAAUACAUCGGAACGUACCUUAUCGUGGGGGAUAACGCAGCGAAAGUUGCGCUAAUACCGCAUACGCCCUGAGGGGGAAAGCGGGGGACCGUAAGGCCUCGCGCGAUUAGAGCGGCCGAUGUCUGAUUAGCUUGUUGGUGAGGUAAAAGCUCACCAAGGCGAUGAUCAGUAGCUGGUCUGAGAGGAAGAUCAGCCACACUGGGACUGAGGCACGGCCCAGACUCCUACGGGAGGCAGCAGUGGGGAAUUUUGGACAAUGGGGGCAACCCUGAUCCAGCAAUGCCGCGUGAGUGAAGAAGGCCUUCGGGUUGUAAAGCUCUUUUGUCAGGGAAGAAACAGCAGCUCUAACACAGUCUGCGAAUGACGGUACCUGAAGAAUAAGCACCGGCUAACUACGUGCCAGCAGCCGCCGUAA
rnacentral:rRNA from 1 species